rnacentral:rRNA from 1 species
GAUGAACGCUGGCGGCGUGCCUAAUACAUGCAAGUCGAGCGACGCGUGGACGGGUGAGUAACACUUGGAUAACCUCCUAUAAGACUGGGCUAACUUCGGGAAACCGGAACUCAACCGGAUACUUAUCACUGGAUCUGCGCUGCAUUAGCUAGUUGGUAAGUGAACGGCUUACCAAGGGAACGAUUCAUAGCCGACCUGAAGGGGUGAUCGGCCACACUGGAACUGAGACACGGUCCAGACUCCUACGGGAGGCAGCAGUAGGGAAGCUUCCGCAAUGGGCGAAAGCCUGACGGAGCAACGCCGCGUGAGUGAGGAAGGUUUUCGGAUCGUAAAACUCUGUUAUUAGGGAAGCGGUACCUAAUCAGAAAGCCACGGCUAACUACGUGCCAGCAGCCGCGGUAAUUC